CCUGGUUGAUCCUGCUAGUAGUCAUAUGCUUGUCUCAAAGAUUAAGCCAUGCAUGUCUAAGUAUGAACUAAUUCAGACUGUGAAACUGCAGAUGGCUCAUUAAAUCAAUUAUAAUUUUUUUUAUGGUACCAUACUACUUGGAUAACCAUAGUAAUUCUAUAGCUAAUACGUGCUCCAAGUCCCGACUCUUUGGAAGUGAUGCAUUUUUUAGAUAAAAGGCCGGCACGGGCUUGCCCGCUUCUCCAGUGAAUCAUGAUAUCUCGACAGAUCAUACAGCCCUUUUGUUGGUGAUGCUUCAUUCAAAUUUUUGCCCUAUCAACUUUCAAUGGUAGGAUAGAGGCCUACCAUGGUGGUGAUGGGUGACGGAGAAUUAGGGUUCGAUUCCGGAGAGGGAGCCUGAGAAAUGGCUACCACAUCCAAGGAUGGCAGUAAGCGCGCAAAUUACCCAAUCCUGACAUGGAGAGGUAGUGACAAUAAAUAACAAUACUGGGCUCAUUAGGUCUGGUAAUUGGAAUGAGUACAAUCUAAAUCCCUUAACGAGGAUCCAUUGGAGGGAAAGUCUGGUGCCAGUAGCCACAGUAAUUCCAGCUCCAAUAGCAUAUAUUUAAGUUGUUGUAGUUAAAAAGCUCGUAGUGGGAUCUUAGGUCAUGAAGGUCAGUCUGCCUACUCGGUGUGCGCCUGCCCUUCUGUCGCUUUUGUCGAUGAUGUGCUCUUGGCCUUAAUUGGCACUAUUACUUUGAAAAAAAUAGAGUUCUCAAAGCAAGCUUAUGCUCCGAAUACAUUAGCAUGGAAUAACGUGAUAGGAGUCUGGUCCUACUGUGUUGGCCUUUAGGACCGGAGUAAUGAUUAAUAGGGACUGUCGAGGGCAUUCGUAUUUCAUCGUCAGAGGUGAAAUUCUUGGAUUUAUAAAAGACAGACCACUGUGAAAGAAUUUUCCAAGGAUGUUUUCAUUAAUUAAGAAAGAAAGUUGGGGGCUCGAAGUCAAUCAGAUACCGUCCUAGUCUCAACCAUAAACGAUGCCGACCAGGGAUAAACGGAUGUUGCUCUAAGGACUCUGCCAGCACCUUUUUAGAAAUAAGAGUGUUUAGGUUUCGGGGGGAGUAUGGUCGCAAGGCUAAAACUUAAAGGAAUUGAUGGAAGGGCACCACCAGGAGUGGAGCCUGCGGAUUAAUUUGACUCAACAUGGGGAAACUUACCAAGUCCAGAAAUAGUAAGGAUUGAUAGAUUGAAAGCUCUUUCUUGAUUCUAUGGGUGGUGGUGCAUGGUCGUUCUUAGGUGGUGGAGCAAUUUGUCUAGUUAAUUCUGAUAACAAAUGAGACCUCAGCCUGCUAACUGGCUACGUGGAGGUUCCCAUUCGCAGCCAACUUUUUAGAGGGACUAUGGCUGUUUAGGCCAUGGAAGUUUGAGGAAAUAACAGGUUUGUGAUGCCCUUAGAUUUUCUGGGCCACACGCGCGCUACACCGAUGCAGCCAACGAGUUUUUCUUCCUGGUUCAAGAGGAUCGGGAAAUCUUCUCAAAUUGCAUCAUGAUGGGGAUAGACCAUUGCAAUUAUUGGUCUUCAACGAGGAAUUCCUAGUAAGUGUGUGUCAUCAACUUGUGUUGACUACAUCCAUGCCCUUUGUACACACCGCUCAUCGCUCCUAUUGAUUGAAUGAUCUGGUCAAGUGUUUGGAUUGUGUCGACGAUGGUGGUUUGCCACCAUCGAUAUCGUGAGAAGUUCAUUGAACCUUAUCAUUUAGAGGAAGGAGAAGUUGUAACAAGGUUACCAUAGGUGAACCUACAGUAG
rnacentral:rRNA from 1 species